rnacentral:tRNA from 1 species
AAGGGGUGUUUGUACAUAAAGAUCUGCUAAUUCUUUAUACUGGGGUUAAACU